rnacentral:rRNA from 1 species
UACAGAGGUGGCGAGCGUUGUUCGGAUUUACUGGGCGUAAAGGGUGCGUAGGCGGCCGCGUGUGUUGGAUGUGAAAUCCCAUGGCUCAACCAUGGAAAGGCAUCCAAAACUGCGUGGCUAGAGUUCAGAAGAGGAGAGUGGAAUUCUUGGUGUAGCGGUGAAAUGCGCAGAUAUCAAGAGGAACACCGGUGGCGAAGGCGGCUCUCUGGAAUGAAACUGACGCUGAGGCACGAAAGCCGGGGGAGCAAAAAGGAUUAGAUACCCUUGUAGUCCCGGCUGUAAACGGUGUAUACUUGGUGUGGGAGGAUUUAUCCCCUUCCGUGCCGGAGCUAACGUGUUAAGUAUACCGCCUGGGGAGUACGGUCGCAAGAUUAAA